CUCCCCUAUCUUAAUCAGUGGCAAGCUCUGUUGAAUAGCCAUGCAUGUCUAAGUACAGACCUUCAAACGGUGAAACCGCGAAUGGCUCAUUAAAUCAGCUAUGGUUCCUUGGAUCGUACAUACUACAUGGAUAACUGUAGUAAUUCUAGAGCUAAUACAUGCCACUAUGCCCUGACCCGCAAGGGAACGGGUGGAUUUAUUAGAACAGAACCAACCGGCAGUGGCCUCGGUCACCGUCGUUGCAUUCUGUGAUGACUCUGGAUAACUUUACUGAUCGCAGUCGGCCCUGUGUCGGCGACGGAUCUUUCAAAUGUCUGCCCUAUCAAUUUUCGAUGGUAGGUGAACCUGAGAAGGAUCAAAGUGUAUAGAACUAAACAAGGCUUCCCUCAGUAACGGCGAGUGAACAGGGAAAAGCCCAGCACCGAAGCCUGUGGCCAAUUGGUUACUAGGCAAUGUGGUGUUCAGGUCGUUCCGCGAGAGUACUGCUCCAUCCCAAGUCCAUUAAUGAGUACGGUAAUGCUGACAUGGCCCACAGAGGGUGAAAGGCCCGUGGGGGUGGAGAGGCAGAAAUGACAGUACGCUCCUGGAUAGACCUUGGAGUCGGGUUGUUUGUGAAUGCAGCCCAAAGUGGGUGGUAAACUCCAUCCAAGGCUAAAUACUUGCACGAGUCCGAUAGCGAACAAGUACCGUGAGGGAAAGUUGAAAAGUACUCUGAAGA
rnacentral:rRNA from 1 species